GGGGUGUAAAGCGGAGCCCAUCCUAUACUUAAAACAUGAAUUGGAAGGAGAGGCUAGGAACAAGGGACAAGAACAAGAGGACUAGAAACAAGGAACAUGAACAAGAGGGUUGAGAUCAAGGAAUAUGAACAAGAGAGUUGAGAUCAAGGAAUAUGAAUGAGUGGGUUGAAAAUGGAGGAUAUAAACAAGAGGAGAAAGGACUAGACCAAGAGAUGGAAACAAGGAGGUUGGAGUGAAGGAUAUAAAUGGAAGGAAGAGGGGGAGCUAAGAAUGGAAGGGUUGGAUAUGAGAGACAUAGAUGGAAAUGAGGGAUAGAGACAAAAUCAAUCAUGAGAUGAUAAAGAGGGAUGUGGCUUUAAUAAUUCCUUUAAUAUAAUGCUAAAUGAUCGGAUAUAUUAAAAAUUUAUAAAAUAAUUAUAAAAUAUAAUU
rnacentral:lncRNA from 1 species